rnacentral:rRNA from 1 species
GACGAACGCUGGCGGCGUGCCUAAUACAUGCAAGUCGAACGAGCGGCGGACGGGAGAGUAAUGUAUGGGGACUGCCCGAUAGAGGGGGAUAACUACUGGAAACGGUGGCUAAUACCGCAUACUAUCGGAUAACCCAAAUGGGAUUAGCUAGUAGGUGGGGUAAAGGCUCACCAAGGCGAUGAUCUCUAGCUGGUCUGAGAGGAUGAUCAGCCACACUGGAACUGUGACAGGGCCCGAACACCUACGGAGGCAGCAGUGGGGAAUAUUGGACAAUGGGCGCAAGCCUAAUGCUGCCAUGCCGCGUGUAUGAAGAAGGCCUUAGAAUUGUAAAGUACUUUCAGCGGGGAGGCGUUACCCGCAGAAGAAGCACCGGCUAACUCCGUGCCAGCAGCCGCGGUAAUUC